AUAUUGGCAUAUUUUCAUUUACGUAUAACCCCAUAAUUAUGGAUGGGGGUUUCUACAGGAAGCCGAAACUUCCCAGCUACGUAACGGAAUCGGUAUUUU
rnacentral:ncRNA from 1 species